AGGGGCCACGCCCACCUGCACGAGCGCUGGACGCAUCAUGUGGGGAUGCGAGAUACACGCGCGGACAGUUCCCCACGAAAUCAGGAUUAGUUUCGGGCGAAUGCAUUUCUCAACAAAAACGAGAGAGAGACGUUGACCACCAGUACAUCUGAAUAUUUGGGACCUGUACUAAAGGCAAGAAGAAAUUAAAAUAGAGCCACAGAUUCCUUUUUUCUCCAUUUUUCCCCGCUAUGAAUGAAGACACACUCACCUCCGGCUCCUGUGCAGACCGUCCACAGGGACGAUGCCAGCAGGACGGGCGCGAUCAGCUGCUGCAUUCUGGAGCGUCUCUGCCUCGACGGAGUGGAGGGGACACAAGGACUGGGUUUGUUCCAAUGUGAUCGCAUUCUUGCAGGGGGGUCCCUUAUACCUUAUCUAUCAGAAUACCCCGACAGAGUGGCCCCUCCCCCUUCGGGCAUCGCCUCCAAUGAAGCUCCAAUCAUGGGGGGGAUGAGGGAUGGGGGGGGGGGGGGGGUCCAUCACGACCCGACAGGCUGCUGAUGGAGGAAACGCUCCCUGGUGACGUGAGAAGUGAAGACGUGAUUGUGGCAGUGGAGGGAAAUCAGACGGAGACCUUCAUCAUGCUCCACAGGUCAUAUGAUAAUAAUGUGACAUUAAUGUGCCUAACAUGAACCUCAGUCGGUGUAACACCGGAUAGUUGCAGAUUUAAGUUUGAAAAAACAAUAAGUGAAUUUCACAGGGCCAUAUGAGCCUGUCCUGGCUGUUCAGUGAAGUUAUCUGACGUUUACACUAAGGGAAAGAUUCAAACCCAUGGUUCCAUGUUUAAAAUGAAACUAUUCUUCAUGUCUUGUGUAACAGUUUUAUCAGUGGUUGGAAAUGUAUUCAAAUCAUUUACUUCAGUAAAAGUAGCUUAGUAUUGAAAAAAUUGUCCGGCUUUCGAAAUUUCACACAUCACAUCUACUGUAAAACAGAUUGAAACAGCAUGAUGCUUGAAACAUCAAAAAGACAGUUUUUCCACUCUGGUGGACAAUAAAGUUCUAUUCAAUUCUAUUCUA